rnacentral:rRNA from 1 species
ACUUACGACCACACCGGCCUGAGUACGCCUGAUCUCGUCUGAUCUCGGAAGCUAACCAGGGUCUGGACUGGUUACUACUUGGAUGGGAGACCGCCUGGGAAUACCAGGUGCUGUAAGCU